CAGCCAUUGAAAUGAUGUCAAGAUGUAUAUUUACUUAAAAAGAAAAUACAACAGAUUUUUAAAAAAAUUAGUUAUGGAAUCAUAGAACAUUUUGAGAGCAUUUUCUAAACUAGAAAUCUAAAUUUCUAAAUCAUGGAUAUUUCUAAAUAUCCAUGUAUUUCUUAAUUUAUGCACUACCUUGAAAGGUACAGAUCAUGUACAUUAGGAUAUGUUUUACCCUCCUCUACAGGUACUCUCUCUGACCUCUUCUGCUCUGAGGUUACAUGGAUGAGCUCCCUCGCACUCUGACAUCUAGUUGGUUUGGACCUUAUAAGGCACUGCCAAGAACAGAAAGAGUAUUGAAAGUGCCUAUUCCUCAGCUAUUUCCUUGCAGACUGUAACCUGAUGGUGGUCACAUGCCUUGACCAAGGGCCAUAACUCCUGUCAAACAGUUAAACCCUAAACCUAGAGUUUCCACUGACCAGUAACAAUGGCCUCGUCUUUAAACCCAAGAGAUAGGAUGAUUUCACACUGGUCGAUGUAUGCCCAGAACUUUUUCAGCACUCCUUAUCAUUAUAACUUCAUGCCCUUACAGAUUUGCUGAAGAACAAUGGGAAGAGAAGACAAAUUUCACCAGGUAUUAGAAAACUUGAUACACCUCCUUACAGGUAUCCAAAGAACAGGAGAAAUUAUAGAAAAUAUUAACACUGAAGAAAUGAAUAAUAUGAGAUGACAGAGAGGAAAAAGAACUGGAUUCAAGAAAUAAAGAAAAUAGCAGAUAUGCCA
rnacentral:lncRNA from 1 species